GGAUGAAAAAAACCAUUAGUUAUUAAACAUAAAAAUAUGAAGUGACAACUCACGUGUCAAAUUCAGUAUAUCCCUGAAUUUGAAACUAGCAGCCAUACACAGUAUGAUAAAGUGAACAAUAAGAAGAUGAAAGUAGAAACUAAAUUGCCCAAAUGGGUGAAAAUAAAAACAGUAAUUGCCCAAGUCCCAAGAGAUGCAACUAAAGAGACAUGGACUCUUGUAAUAUGAUGUUCAAUAGUCCAAAGCAAUGGUGAGAUACAGUCCAAACUCCAAACACAUGAUAUGAAGGUUUAGUUUCUGGCUGGUGGUGGGGAAAGGAAUGGGAUGGAGGGAAUUGUAGUUGGGAUAUUGGGGAUUGAGGGUAUGUUUGGCAAUGAAGGCAAAGUGACCUUUGGCACAACAGGCAUGGUGGGCAAGCUGGGAAGUGGAGGUAGACUGGGGUUGGGCAGGGAAGGUUGAGCGGUUGGCAAGGUUGGCAAUGAAGGCUGUGGGAGAGUUGGAAUAGCAGGGAUUGGUAGCACUGCAGACUUUGGCAAAUUUGGCACCGAAGGCAAAGAUGGCAAUUGUAGAAGAUUGCGAGCUGCUAAGCUAGCAUCCAUGCUUAAAAAUGACAAAGAAGCAAAGAUGAAACAAUUGAAAGAGGCCAUAAUUAAGAAGAUGUUGCUGUAGUACUAAGGGAAUAAUUUGUUAAAUUGUUG
rnacentral:misc_RNA from 1 species